rnacentral:rRNA from 1 species
AAUUGACGGGGCCCGCACAAGCGGUGGAGCAUGUGGUUUAAUUCGAUGCAACGCGAAGAACCUUACCUGGGCUUGACAUCCCAAGAAUCCCCUGGAAACAGGGGAGUGCCCUUCGGGGAGCUUGGAGACAGGUGCUGCAUGGUUGUCGUCAGCUCGUGUCGUGAGAUGUUGGGUUAAGUCCCGCAACGAGCGCAACCCUUAUUGCUAGUUACCAUCAUUAAGUUGGGGACUCUAGCGAGACUGCCAGUGAUAAACUGGAGGAAGGUGGGGAUGACGUCAAAUCAUCAUGCCCCUUAUGACCUGGGCUACAAACGUGAUACAAUGGCUGAAACAAAGGGCAGCGAAGCAGUGAUGUGGAGCGAAACCCAAAAAAGCAGUCUCAGUUCGGAUUGAAGUCUGCAACUCGACUUCAUGAAGUUGGAAUCGCUAGUAAUCGUAGAUCAGAACGCUACGGUGAAUACGUUCUCGGGGUUU